GACGAACGCUGGCGGCGUGCUUAACACAUGCAAGUCGAACGGAAAGGCCCUGCUUUUGUGGGGUGCUCGAGUGGCGAACGGGUGAGUAACACGUGAGUAACCUGCCCUUGACUUUGGGAUAACUUCAGGAAACUGGGGCUAAUACCGGAUAGGAGCUCCUGCUGCAUGGUGGGGGUUGGAAAGUUUCGGCGGUUGGGGAUGGACUCGCGGCUUAUCAGCUUGUUGGUGGGGUAGUGGCUUACCAAGGCUUUGGCGGGUAGCCGGCCUGAGAGGGUGACCGGCCACAUUGGGACUGAGAUACGGCCCAGACUCCUACGGGAGGCAGCAGUGGGGAAUAUUGCACAAUGGGCGGAAGCCUGAUGCAGCAACGCCGCGUGCGGGAUGACGGCCUUCGGGUUGUAAACCGCUUUCGCCUGUGACGAAGCGUGAGUGACGGUAAUGGGUAAAGAAGCACCGGCUAACUACGUGCCAGCAGCCGCGGUGAUACGUAGGGUGCGAGCGUUGUCCGGAUUUAUUGGGCGUAAAGGGCUCGUAGGUGGUUGAUCGCGUCGGAAGUGUAAUCUUGGGGCUUAACCCUGAGCGUGCUUUCGAUACGGGUUGACUUGAGGAAGGUAGGGGAGAAUGGAAUUCCUGGUGGAGCGGUGGAAUGCGCAGAUAUCAGGAGGAACACCAGUGGCGAAGGCGGUUCUCUGGGCCUUUCCUGACGCUGAGGAGCGAAAGCGUGGGGAGCGAACAGGCUUAGAUACCCUGGUAGUCCACGCUGUAAACGGUGGGUACUAGGUGUGGGGUCCAUUCCACGGGUUCCGUGCCGUAGCUAACGCUUUAAGUACCCCGCCUGGGGAGUACGGCCGCAAGGCUAAAACUCAAAGGAAUUGACGGGGCCCCGCACAAGCGGCGGAGCAUGCGGAUUAAUUCGAUGCAACGCGUAGAACCUUACCUGGGUUUGACAUGGAUCGGGAGUGCUCAGAGAUGGGUGUGCCUCUUUUGGGGUCGGUUCACAGGUGGUGCAUGCCUGUCGUCAGCUCGUGUCGUGAGAUGUUGGGUUAAGUCCCGCAACGAGCGCAACCCUUGUUCACUGUUGCCAGCACGUUAUGGUGGGGACUCAGUGGAGACCGCCGGGGUCAACUCGGAGGAAGGUGGGGAUGACGUCAAGUCCUCAUGCCCCUUAUGUCCAGGGCUUCACGCAUGCUACAAUGGCUGGUACAGAGAGUGGCGAGCCUGUGAGGGUGAGCGAAUCUCGGAAAGCCGGUCUCAGUUCGGAUUGGGGUCCGCAACUCGACCUCAUGAAGUCGGAGUCGCUAGUAAUCGCAGAUCAGCAACGCUGCGGUGAAAAAGUUCCCGGG
rnacentral:rRNA from 1 species